rnacentral:lncRNA from 1 species
CUAGAGAAAUGGUUGGAAGAGGGACCAGAGUUCAGCCUCUCUGCCCUGGGAUGUGAAUGGACCCUUUGUAUGUACAUUUUGACAUACUGGACACUGUGUCACAACUGUCACUUCUGGUGAAUGGAUGUGAGGAUAGACAUAAGGAAGGUGAGUUAAUUAAACUUUAAUUUCUUUCUUUAUAGCUUGAAUUUUUUUAAAAUCACACACAAGUAUUCCCUUAAUUUACAAAAUAGUUCUAUUAAAACUUCUAUUGAAAAUGCAUUUAGGGCUAGAGACUUUAUUAAAUGAACUUGAAGCUUAAAGUCUAUUAAACAACAACAAAAAAGCUUUAAUCUGUCAUCUGUAGUACAUUCAACUUGCCAAAAACAUUCUUACACUUUUUCACUGGGAAAGUUAAUUGAAAAGAAGAUUGACAUAAUUUUAUAAAAUGUUUUUCUGAAUGACUCUAAACUUUGUUCAUUAAAACUUUUAAAAUGUUGGUAGGAAUGUAAAUGUGUGCAGCCACUGUGCUGCUGCUGCUAAGUCGCUUCAGUCGUGUCCGACUCUGUUCGACCUCAUAGACGGCAGCCCACCAGGCUCCGCCGUCCCUGGGAUUCUCCAGGCAAGAACACUGGAGCAGGUUGCCAUUUCCUUCCCUGUGCAGCCACUGUAGGGUUCCUUAAAAAACUAAAAAUAGAGUUGCUGAAGGACCCUGGGCAUAUUACCCAGAGAAAACUGUAAUUCAAAAAGAUACAUGCACCCUAUUGACAGUUAACCAAGACACGGAAACAGCCUAAGUAUCCACUGACAGAUUAAUAGAUAAAAAAGACACAGUACAUAUAUACAGUGGAAUAUUAUUCAGCCAUAAAAAUGCCAUUUGCAACAACAUGGAUGGACCUAGAGAUUAGAGAUAAAGAUAGCCAGACAAAGACAAAUAUCAUAUAAUGUCACUUAUAUGUGGAAUCUAAAAAAAAAAAAAGAUACAAAUUAACCUAUUUAUAAAACAGAAACAUACUCCCAGAUUUAGGAGAAUGAACUUACAGUUACCAACAGGGUAAGGGGGCAGGGGAUAAGCUAGAAGGUUAG